rnacentral:rRNA from 1 species
UACGAAGGGGGCAAGCGUUGUUCGGAAUUACUGGGCGUAAAGGGCGCGUAGGCGGCCGAUCAAGUCAGGCGUGAAAUUCCCGGGCUCAACCUGGGGGCUGCGCUUGAUACUGAUUGGCUUGAAUGCGGGAGAGGAUAGUGGAAUUCCCAGUGUAGAGGUGAAAUUCGUAGAUAUUGGGAAGAACACCGGUGGCGAAGGCGGCCAUCUGGGCUGCAACUGACGCUGAGGCGCGAAAGCGUGGGGAGCAAACAGG